rnacentral:rRNA from 1 species
UACGUAGGGCGCAAGCGUUGUCCGGAAUUAUUGGGCGUAAAGAGCUCGUAGGCGGCUUGUCACGUCGGUUGUGAAAGCCCGGGGCUUAACCCCGGGUCUGCAGUCGAUACGGGCAGGCUAGAGUGCGGUAGGGGAGAUCGGAAUUCCUGGUGUAGCGGUGAAAUGCGCAGAUAUCAGGAGGAACACCGGUGGCGAAGGCGGAUCUCUGGGCCAUUACUGACGCUGAGGAGCGAAAGCGUGGGGAGCGAACAGG